AUGGUGCAUGACCUGACAAAUUGGGGAAAAUCUAAUAAUGCUAACUUGUAUCAUUAUAUUGAUGAUCUCAUGUUGAUGUCUAACUCACCAGAGGCAUUAGGACAGGUGGCAGAUUCACUGACCACCUAUCUGCAGGGAAAAGGAUGGGCUAUAAACCCUCAGAAGGUCCUGCACCGAGCAGAAGAGAUAUACAGUAUGAUUGAGAAAUUGUUGCUGACUACCUAUUCUGCACUGCAGGCAAUAGAGCCAAUUACUCAAACAGCUAAGAUUGUGGUAAAAACAAUGUUGCCAAUUCAGGGGUGGGUAAAAGAUCUAAGCCCCCUUCCUAAGACAGGGGUAGCCCAAGCCCUAUCUGUGGCAUGUCUGGUAACCUUCCUCAGCCAGAGGAACCAUCUAUCUUUGUCACCAUUUAAGGAAGAACUCCAGAAGACCCUUGGCCUGUUGAUGUACUGUAACGAUGCUCCAGAAGAGACGACAGUCACUCUACAAGAAAAGAGUCCCAUCCAGGAAGGGAAGUAUUCCUUUCCUGAAGAUGCCUGGUAUACAGACAGGUCCAGGAAAGCCCCAAAACUAAUAGCAACCUUUAGCCUAAUCAUAAGAACCAGCAUCAUGAUCUCCAGCAACUGUUGAACAAUAGCCCAGACCAACUUAGAAACUGACACCCUAGAUUUUGUUCCCCUCAUCUCUGAGUCACACUACCCCUGAGCAAUCAAAGUCGCUAUCAAAUACUUCCUCCCCCAAUCUACCGCAUCAGCCCUAAUCCUCUUCUCUAACAUCACUAACGCCAGAUCUACCAGUCAGCAAGAUAUUGUGCAGCUAAAUCACUCCAUAUUGUGCCUUGUACCAAAAAAUAGCAAUUGUGAUCAAAUUGGGACUACUUCCAUUCCAAUUUUAAUUCCCAGAAUAACUUCAAGGAUCCUCUCUGAUCACUGCCUUGUUACUCUCAACCCUAAGAAAACUUUCCCUGAUCACCCUGCUCCUACGGACAUCAUGAUCCCUUAAUCCUACCCUGCUCAACUCCCUAGCUGUCAGCUUGACAAUAGUCAGAGGUAAAAUACACUUAAACUAAAUACAAAUGUGGAAAAAAAAACCUAGCCUUCUCAUCUGUCUCCCUCCUAGGCUGAAUUAUCAUCAUCAUGGCCUACAGCCCCAGACUCACCCUCCUUACCUUCUCCGUUUACAUUGUAAUAUCAACAGCCUUAUUCCCAUCCCUAAACCAAAUCUAAGUCCUAAAGCUGUCAACAAUAAUUACCUCACAAACAAAAACCCCAGUACCAAACAUGACCCUAAUACAUGUACUUCCCUCUCUAGUGGGCCUCCUGCUGCUAACUGGCUUCAUGCCCAAAUGACUCCUCAUUCAAGAACUUACUGGAAAUAACCCUGACAGCCAUGAUAGUUACAAUACUAUUCCUCCUUGGCCUAUUAUUCUACCUUGGUCUCUCAUAUUGAGAACCAUUAAGCUCCCCACUGACUCCUCUGACCACAUAAAGUUAUGAUACACUAAUAAAACCUCAAACUCUACUACAGCAUGCUAACUGCACUAUCAAUCACCUUACUACCCCUUUCUCCCUUAAUUCUCACUGUAGCCUAGAAACUGAGGAUUAAUCUGCUACCCAACCAAAAGCCUUCAAAGCCCUAAAAAAAAAAAAAGUUAAACAAUUUCUGCCACAUGUUAAGGCUAACAGGACAUUAACCUGUAUCUUUGGAAUACAAACCAGCUGCUUUCUUUAAGUUAAAGCCUCCACCUAAGCAGAUGGGCCUCGAUCCUGUACAAUUCUAUUUAACGGCUGGACACUGCUGCCCCUCAGCUUCUGCCUCCAGGAGCCUGGCAUGCCUUUGAUUCCAAUUGAUGAACUUCGCUGUGGGGCCGAUAAGAAGAGGAAUUAUACCUCUGUGAAAAGGACUCCAGCCUAACACUUCGAUGCUCAGCCAUCUUAGCUCUGACCUUCCUCAACCGAAGACUGUUCUUGACCAACUACAAAGAUGCCAGCACUCUUUACCUAAUCUUCAGCACACGAGAGGACAUAGUCAGAGCAGCACUUAGCCUGCUAAUCUGCAUGGAACUAUGAUGACCAGAAACCUUUUUAGGAGAUAGCCAAAUCUACAGUGUAAUCAUCAUAGCCUGUGCCUUCAUUAUAAUCUUCAUAAUUAUGCCUAUCAUGAUCAACGGCUUUGGAAACCAAUUAGUCCUGCUUGUAAUUGGAGCCCCAGAUAUAGUGUUCCCUUGCAUAAAUAACAUGAGCUUCCAACUUCUCACACCUUCCACCCUACUCCUGCUAGCCUCCUGUAAUGUAGAGGCUGGAGCUGGUGUGGGACCAACUGCUGAUCCACCUUUAGCCUCGCUCAUUCCAGUGCAUCCAUAGACCUGACUGUAUUUUCCCUUCACCUGGCAGGCAUGUCGUCUGUCCUAGGUGCUAUGGACUGCAUCACUAUUGUUAUUAACAUGAAAUCCCCCUGUGCUAUCACAAUACCAAACACCCCCAUUCAUGUGAUUCAUCCUCAUCACUGUCAUUUUACUAUUCCUCUCCCUACCAGUCCUCACCAUGGAUAUCACGAUACCGUUUACCAACUGAAAACUUAAUGCAAUGUUCUUUGACCCAGGAGACCUCAUCCUGUACCAACACCUCUUCUGAUUCUUUGGCCACCCUGAAGUCUACAUCCUUGUCCUUCCAGGCUUCAGAAUCAUCUCCCACAUAGUAGUAUACUCCUGAGGGAAAAAAAAAAAAACACAAACAACAAAAACAACAACAACAACAAAAAAACAUUUGAAUAUGUAGCAAUGGUAUGAGCAAUACUAUCCAUUGGAUGCCUAGGCUUCAUUGUAUGAGCUCACCACAUAUUCAGUCAGAAUAAAUGUAGAUGCCUGAGCUUACUUCACAUCAGCUACUAUAAUCGUUAUCCCAACCAGCAUUGAAGUCUUGAGCUGACUAGUCACCCUGCAUCGAGGAACAAUCUAAUGAGACUUCCCUGCACUAUGAGCCCUAGGAUUCAUUUUUCUAUUCACCAUUGGAGGACUAACAAGAAUCAUCCUCAUCAGCUCAUUCCUAAAUGUUGCCUUCCACAUGUAGUACUACUAUGUAGUUGCCCGCUUCUGCUAUGUACUCUCAAUGGGGGCAGCGUUUGCAAUUCUAGCAGGAUUUACCCACCAAUUCCCCCUCUUUGCAGGCCUCCGCCCCUCAUGAACUAAAGCAUGCUUCUGAGUAAUAUUUGCAGCCUAACCUUCUUCCCCCAGCACCUCUUAGGUUAAGCCAGCAUGCCCCAACAAUACUUGGACUACCCAGAUGCCUAUGCACUAUGAAACCCACUAUCCUCCAUGGGCUCCUUAACCUCAAUAACGGCUAUAAUCAUGCUAAUAUUUAUUGUCUGAAAAAACUUUCUUGGCAAAGCAAGAAUUAUCACAACUGGAACUAUCUGCCAGCAAGAUCAAAUGAAUCUGUGGUCACCUACCCCCAUACUGUGCCUUUGAAAAACCAGCCUCAAUCUGAGUAUGAGAAAGGAAGGAAUUGAACCCUCACACGCUGGUUUUGAGCUGACUGCAUCAAACCACUUAACGCUUCUUUCUGACAAGACGUAAGCAAAUCCAUUACAUAGCUGUAUCCAGACUAAAUCACAGGUUCAAACCCUGCACAUCUCAUGUGGUAAACCACUCCCAUCUAGGACUUCAAGAUGCCUUGCCCCUCAUCAUAGAAGAACUCACUGAAUUCUGUAACUAUGCCCUGAGAGUAGUGCUAGCAAUCUGUAACUUAGUACCAUAUCUUCUAGCCCUCAUACUAAUACAAAAAAAUCUAUCAUCAAAUACCAUCAGUGCCCAGUCAAACUAAUCUGAACUAUCCUACCUGCUCUUGUCCUAGUCCUAUUUGCCCUCCCUUCCCUACAAAUCCUCUAUGUAAUAGAGGAAGUUGACAAACCCGACCUCACCCUAAAAGCCACUGGACAUCAAAGGUAUUGAACUUAAAAGUGCGCAGACAUUAAAGACAUUUCAUUUGACUACUAGAUGAUUCCAACAAGCAACCUCCCCCAAGGCUACUUCUGACUGCUAGAAGUUGAUCACCUCACUGCAGUUCCCAUUUGAGUAAUGGCUGACAAAUUGAUCCGCUCCCGAGCUGUACCCACUCUUAGGGUAAAAACAGAUGCAAUCUCUGGAUGGCUACAUGAUUUGAGUUCAGCCUGCAGCAAUCCAGGACCAUUUCUAUCUAUGAACAUACCUCCUCUAGUAUGAAAGAACUAGAGAAGCAGGUUCAAUACUACAAGUACAUCCCCGUUCUAAGCAGUGAACUUGACUUGACUGCUAAGGAGGCCUACAAGAGCAUACCUGCUCUUGAGGUAAAAAUGGAUGCGGUCCCCAGAUGACUAAAUUGAACCGCUUUUAUUACUACCUGACUGUAAGAGAUUAUUCUUUUAUAUGAUUGACUCAAAGUUUGCUGAGGAACAAGUCCAGGCAAGUCCUGGGAAAAGGUAGAGAAAUCUUCUGUCUGGAGGACACUGAUGGACAGGUCCUGGCUAAGGGUUGUGAAAUCCUUUAAGGAGCACAGAUAGACAAGGCCAGGGGCAACGAGAGAGGGAUAAGCUGCUAAGCUGCUGAUAAUGGCCGGGAAACGGUCUUUUGUGUGGACUUAUCUCCAGGAAGAUGGCCAUCUCAGGAGGUACGCACAUGACUCUUGCUCAAGCACCCAGGGAUGUCACGUAGGCAGGAAAAAAAAGGAGGAUAAAAGAGGGUGCAACAACCAUGAGGAUAAGUGUCUGCCAUCAGAUCCCUCACUACGAAAGGUCUGCGUGCUGACGGACUCAAGGUGUCUGCCAUCAGAUCCCUUACUACAGACUGCAUGCUGACAGACUUCCCUGGGCCUGCUACCUGAGACCUGCUGCUUCCUUCCAGACUUACUCUGCGGCUUCUUCCUGGACCCACCCAGUACCUGCACCCUCUCGUUGCCCAAGACCGGCCUCGCUGCCCCUGCCAUUCAGCCUCGGACCAUCGAAAUAGCAUGCAACGGAUUGCUACUGGAUCUUGGUGGCAACUUAUCCCCGCUUUAAACGAUUCUUGCUUCUUUCCUAUGCUUUGCUAUCGCCUUCCUUCCCUCCCCCUUUACCCUAACUUGUAAUAGCAUCCGUCCUCUCCUUUCUCCCGUCUCCCUGGUUAAGAUUUUGUAAUAAACUGGCCAGACC